GAUAAACGCUGGCGGCGUGCCUAAUACAUGCAAGUCGAGCGAACGGACGAGGAGCUUGCUUCUCUGAUGUUAGCGGCGGACGGGUGAGUAACACGUGGAUAACCUACCUAUAAGACUGGGAUAACUUCGGGAAACCGGAGCUAAUACCGGAUAAUAUUUUGAACCGCAUGGUUCAAAAGUGAAAGACGGUCUUGCUGUCACUUAUAGAUGGAUCCGCGCUGCAUUAGCUAGUUGGUAAGGUAACGGCUUACCAAGGCAACGAUGCAUAGCCGACCUGAGAGGGUGAUCGGCCACACUGGAACUGAGACACGGUCCAGACUCCUACGGGAGGCAGCAGUAGGGAAUCUUCCGCAAUGGGCGAAAGCCUGACGGAGCAACGCCGCGUGAGUGAUGAAGGUCUUCGGAUCGUAAAACUCUGUUAUUAGGGAAGAACAUAUGUGUAAGUAACUGUGCACAUCUUGACGGUACCUAGUCAGAAAGCCACGGCUAACUACGUGCCAGCAGCCGCGGUAAUACGUAGGUGGCAAGCGUUAUCCGGAAUUAUUGGGCGUAAAGCGCGCGUAGGCGGUUUUUUAAGUCUGAUGUGAAAGCCCACGGCUCAACCGUGGAGGGUCAUUGGAAACUGGAAAACUUGAGUGCAGAAGAGGAAAGUGGAAUUCCAUGUGUAGCGGUGAAAUGCGCAGAGAUAUGGAGGAACACCAGUGGCGAAGGCGACUUUCUGGUCUGUAACUGACGCUGAUGUGCGAAAGCGUGGGGAUCAAACAGGAUUAGAUACCCUGGUAGUCCACGCCGUAACCGAUGAGUGCUAAGUGUUAGGGGGUUUCCGCCCCUUAGUGCUGCAGCUAACGCAUUAAGCACUCCGCCUGGGGAGUACGACCGCAAGGUUGAAACUCAAAGGAAUUGACGGGGACCCGCACAAGCGGUGGAGCAUGUGGUUUAAUUCGAAGCAACGCGAAGAACCUUACCAAAUCUUGACAUCCUUUGACAACUCUAGAGAUAGAGCCUUCCCCUUCGGGGGACAAAGUGACAGGUGGUGCAUGGUUGUCGUCAGCUCGUGUCGUGAGAUGUUGGGUUAAGUCCCGCAACGAGCGCAACCCUUAAGCUUAGUUGCCAUCAUUAAGUUGGGCACUCUAAGUUGACUGCCGGUGACAAACCGGAGGAAGGUGGGGAUGACGUCAAAUCAUCAUGCCCCUUAUGAUUUGGGCUACACACGUGCUACAAUGGACAAUACAAAGGGCAGCGAAACCGCGAGGUCAAGCAAAUCCCAUAAAGUUGUUCUCAGUUCGGAUUGUAGUCUGCAACUCGACUACAUGAAGCUGGAAUCGCUAGUAAUCGUAGAUCAGCAUGCUACGGUGAAUACGUUCCCGGGUCU
rnacentral:rRNA from 1 species